rnacentral:rRNA from 1 species
UACGAAGGGGGCUAGCGUUGCUCGGAAUCACUGGGCGUAAAGCGCACGUAGGCGGAUUCCUAAGUCGGUGGUGAAAUCCUGGAGCUCAACUCCAGAACUGCCUCCGAUACUGAGAGUCUCCGAGUCCGGGAGAGGUGAGUGGAACUGCGAGUGUAGAGGUGAAAUUCGUAGAUAUUCGCAAGAACACCAGUGGCGAAGGCGCUUCUGGGCCGUACUGACGCUGAGGUGCGAAAGCAUGGGGAGCAAACAGAUUGAGAACCAGUACCGUCGUA